CAAGGAGGCUAAAUAUUGUAGCGCACAUCAUACACUCCCUUACAACUGAAGAUUUUUAAUCUUUACAAGGACACAAAAACAUUGCGCAAUUGGUGAGCAUAGAUGGUACAAGUGUACAGGUUUACUGCAAUGAAUUGCUUUUUACUGUUUCCUCCAAUGAUGAGGUUUACUUUCAAUUGCAGGAUACACUCGUAGCGUUCCAAGGAGCAGGUAACAUUUGCAGAAUAGCAGCAAUUGUUUCCCUUACUGUGCUUAUAAUCACAAUCUUUAUUGCCUCAGAGAAACGACCUCGUCCACUUAAACC